UCCCUCAUCCAAAGGCGCGGCUUUGCGGGGAAACAACAAGCACGUAGCUGAUUGGUCGAAGGAUCGGAAGGAGGGAAGUAUGGAACGUCUCCAUUGGUUACUGUAGAAGAGCGGGGAGAGUAGGCGGGGCGAGAAAGAGACUGAAGACGCGGGAUAGUUGAAUAGGAACGUUUGGCAGUGUGUGAAGUGGCGCAUUAGCAGCAGGAAGCUGGUGUGUGCGGUAGUGACUGUAUGGAGAGGGAAAGGAACAUAAAACUGCUCUUCACAUUUGUCUCGCUCUCUUCUGAGCAGCUGCGGGGGGAUUUUGUGUCAAUUAUGGGCGAGUGCCGUAAAUAAGCGGUUAGUUAAUGUUCUGCCUGUAUUCCUCCUGCUCACGUGACGAGACUAAACAUUCAGUGGCUCCAAUUAAAGUGAUAUUAUACGGCUAAUGCUAAUCUACAACAGAUGAGCUGCUAUAGUAUGAAUGACGUGUCAGUGCUGGUGUGCAGAGGAUAAAUGAAAUCCUGGAAAAUGUAUCUUAGUCUACAGUCUCUGUGAAAAAAAAACAGGGGGAGCGUGGAUCUGCCAGGUCUCAGUGUGUGUGCAGCGAACAAAAAAAGAGGUUGAUCAAAGGAAGCAUGAUCAAACACUUUAUAACGUCCCAUGAUGUGACCUUACAGUAACCAAAGAAGCAUGUAGAUCUGGUGGCACGUGGGGUGUAAUCUUCUCCAAUAUAUUUCUGCCACUGGAGAAUCAGCAAAGACUGCAGCGACCCUAAGCUCAUGGUCUGCGCUGGAGCUAUGGACCUAUAAUUCUGAUUGGCUGCCGGCUGCCUUAUUGUACAUGCAAGAUCUGCACUGCAAACAGACCCCCAGGUUGAACUGGGCAAUGAAAGAACCUGAUUAAAUCCUGUAGAAGGUGGCAGUUGCUCUGUUUCUUUUGGAUUCACCACUAUUAACUAAUAGCAUUUACAGGUAACAGAUUUGCUAAAAUGAACACAAGCUAAUAACAGGUAUAAUGAAGUUUUCAGGUCUCAAAAUGUAAAAACUCACCCAAUGCAAGAAGAGGUCCAGGUGCACCGCCCUGAUCCUUCAGCUGGGGGAGAGGAUAACCGUAUCAAAAAAAGAGCAGGCACUUCCAAAGACCAAUCUUCCAGACAGACUUGUUAAAUAACAUUCUCAGAUACUAUCUUCAUUUCUCCCUUGUUUUAUAUAUUAGGAGGUGAAAACUAGUUCCAUGCAGUUUAUUGUUAAUAUUUGCCAAACAAAUGUGAUCCAAAACAUAUGUCGGCCUCUUUCAAAUGUCACUUUUAAUACAAGCGGUGUUACAGUUUGCUACAGGAAACCCAUUUCAUUAGGAGCCUAAGCCUUUCUGCAUAGCCCAGGGCUUCAUAUUCUUUAUAUUGAGCGAUACUCGUAGGCUGGAUUCUGCU